rnacentral:rRNA from 1 species
CAGGCUUAACACAUGCAAGUCGAGGGGCAGCAUUUUAGUUUGCUUGCAAACUGAAGAUGGCGACCGGCGCACGGGUGAGUAACACGUAUCCAACCUGCCGAUAACUCCGGAAUAGCCUUUCGAAAGAAAGAUUAAUACCGGAUAGCAUACGAAUAUCGCAUGAUAUUUUUAUUAAAGAAUUUCGGUUAUCGAUGGGGAUGCGUUCCAUUAGUUUGUUGGCGGGGUAACGGCCCACCAAGACUACGAUGGAUAGGGGUUCUGAGAGGAAGGUCCCCCACAUUGGAACUGAGACACGGUCCAAACUCCUACGGGAGGCAGCAGUGAGGAAUAUUGGUCAAUGGGCGAGAGCCUGAACCAGCCAAGUAGCGUGAAGGAUGAAGGCUCUAUGGGUCGUAAACUUCUUUUAUAUGGGAAUAAAGUUUUCCACGUGUGGAAUUUUGUAUGUACCAUAUGAAUAAGGAUCGGCUAACUCCGUGCCAGCAGCCGCGGUAAUACGGAGGAUCCGAGCGUUAUCCGGAUUUAUUGGGUUUAAAGGGAGCGUAGGUGGAUUGUUAAGUCAGUUGUGAAAGUUUGCGGCUCAACCGUAAAAUUGCAGUUGAAACUGGCAGUCUUGAGUACAGUAGAGGUGGGCGGAAUUCGUGGCGUAGCGGUGAAAUGCUUAGAUAUCACGAAGAACUCCGAUUGCGAAGGCAGCUCACUAGACUGUCACUGACACUGAUGCUCGAAAGUGUGGGUAUCAAACAGGAUUAGAUACCCUGGUAGUCCACACAGUAAACGAUGAAUACUCGCUGUUUGCGAUAUACAGUAAGCGGCCAAGCGAAAGCAUUAAGUAUUCCACCUGGGGAGUACGCCGGCAACGGUGAAACUCAAAGGAAUUGACGGGGGCCCGCACAAGCGGAGGAACAUGUGGUUUAAUUCGAUGAUACGCGAGGAACCUUACCCGGGCUUAAAUUGCAACAGAAUAUAUUGGAAACAGUAUAGCCGUAAGGCUGUUGUGAAGGUGCUGCAUGGUUGUCGUCAGCUCGUGCCGUGAGGUGUCGGCUUAAGUGCCAUAACGAGCGCAACCCUUAUCUUUAGUUACUAACAGGUCAUGCUGAGGACUCUAGAGAGACUGCCGUCGUAAGAUGUGAGGAAGGUGGGGAUGACGUCAAAUCAGCACGGCCCUUACGUCCGGGGCUACACACGUGUUACAAUGGGGGGUACAGAAGGCGGCUACCUGGUGACAGGAUGCUAAUCCCAAAAACCUCUCUCAGUUCGGAUCGAAGUCUGCAACCCGACUUCGUGAAGCUGGAUUCGCUAGUAAUCGCGCAUCAGCCAUGGCGCGGUGAAUACGUUCCCGGGCCUUGUACACACCGCCCGUCAAGCCAUGAAAGCCGGGGGUACCUGAAGUACGUAACCGCAAGGAGCGUCCUAGGGUAAAACUGGUAAUUGGGGCUAAG